rnacentral:misc_RNA from 1 species
GAUGAAGAACGUAGUGAAAUGCGAUAAGUAAUGUGAAUUGCAGAAUUCAGUGAAUCAUCGAAUCUUUGAACGCACAUUGCGCCCUCUGGUAUUCCGGGGGGCAUGCCUGUCCGAGCGUCAUUACAACCCUCAAGCUCAGCUUGGUGUUGGGCCCCGCCGCCCCGGCGGGCCCUAAAGUCAGUGGCGGUGCCGUCCGGCUCCGAGCGUAGUAAUUCUUCUCGCUCUGGAGGUCCGGUCGUGUGCUCGCCAGCAACCCCCAAUUUUUUUCAGGUUGACCUCGGAUCAGGUAGGGAUACCCGCUGAACUUAAGCAUAUCAAUAAGCGGAGGA